UUUUUUUAUUUUUUUUAUGUCUUUUUGCCAUUUCUUGGGCCGCUCCUACGGCAUAUGGAGGUUCCCAGGCUAGGGGUCCAAUCGGAGCGGUAGCCACCGGCCUACACCAGAGCCACAGCAAUUCGAGAUCUAAGCCGCCUCUGCGAGCUACACCAGAGCUCACGGCAACGCCAGAUCCUUAACCCACUGAGCAAGGCCAGGGAUUGAACCUGCAACCUCACGGUUCCUAGUCGGAUUCAUUAACCACUGAGCCAUGACGGGAACUCCUAGAGGUCAUUUAGAACUACACUUUGGCUGUCACUUCAGGUAAAAUUCAUUUAAAGUUAUUAAGUAAAGGCAUAGCCUGUGAGAAAAGGCACGUGUUUAACAUCAGGGAGAAGAUACAAGAGAGAUCUUGUAUCUCCUCUCCUUCCUUGGGAGUGUUUCAGGGAAAACAAAAAAAAAGACUCACUUAAAAGUUUGGUAUAGAAGAAUAAGCACUGGCCUACAAUAUUGGAGUUCUUAGUUCAAGUACCUAUAAUACCAUUCACUAAUCCUGAGACCACAGACAAGUCAGUUAACCUCCUAACCUCCAUUACUCUGUUUUCUUUUAAUAAAAGAGAGAUUAAAUUAUUUGCCCUAAAAACAUCAAGAGGAUGUGGAAAGGAUCAAAGUGUAAUAACAAGAGUAGCUUAUGUUUAUUGAAUACCCACAAGGGGUAGGACAGAGUGCUGAGUGCAUUCCACAAAUAAUCUUUAUUAGUGACAUUGAAGAAGGUUGGCAACAGUGAGAUGGGAACAAAGGGAUGGUGACUGACAGAAGAGGAUGACAGAAAAGUAAAGGCUCUGGGGAAAAGUAGGUAAAAUCUAUUUCUAAAUCAAUACCGAGAGCUGAACUUUUGGGCCCUCCAAUGGUUGUAGGAUUCUACCACAGGGAUGAGCUCUGUUGCCAUAUCAUGUAUUAUCCACCGCUCCACACUGAGAAAAGGUGACCUCUAGAGAAGGCAUCAAUAAUGUCAAAAAUAUGCCUGUUACAUUUGAUAAAAAGUAAGCCUUCUGCAUCUUAGUUUGAUAAUUUUCCUCUGCUACUCAAUGUUUCGCUUAGCUUAACAUGUUUAUAUCUUUAAGUAUGUGCAUAAAAACAAACAUACACACGUUACAUAAAAUAUAUAAAUCUGUGUGUGUGUGUGUUUCUGUUUAUGCGGGUUAUAUUUCAUUUACGACAAACGAGAACCCACCCGCUGAAAUGUUAAACACUGAAGACAAGAGAAGGCCCUCUAAAAAGGGUGUAUCUCCUGAAACUGAGGUAGAGCGAAAGGAGAAAAGGGGUCAAAAAUCCACUUUUCUUGCAUCCCUAUGUAUUCCAUAGAGGUGGCUCCUUCCUGUGGUACAGUGUUUUUAUAUAGGUGACUUGUGUUCAUCCUGCUUUUUUUGACAAACCGGUACUGAAGAUCAUUUAACUUAAUAGACACAGGCGGGCACACGCACGUGUGUACACACACACACACACACACACACACACACAUAAAAUGAUUAUCCACUUAUCCUCAGAAGUGAUAAUGGGAAUGAACCAGCAUUGCGAAUGUCCCUAGUGUCUGUGACUGUUCUCAUUACGUUAGAGGACAUCCCAGCUGGGUACAGAGGCAAAUAGCACACAAGGAAAAGGUCAAGUUUUCCAAACCUCUCAAACCCCAUAUUCCUGUUCCAAACAUGCGUAUGGAAGGAGAUGGAUUAAAACUCAAACUAGUUCAAACUAAGUUCUCCCAGUUCAUGUAGGCACCAUAUGCCCAAACCAAACAUCCAAUGUUAAUUUCUUGCUUCUGUUAGAUGGAGUCUGCGCAGGAAUUAUUUUCCCACGGUGUUUUCACAGCCUGUUUCCCUUGUCUCCAAUCCAAAUGUGAAGAGAUAGAAACUAAUAGAUAGUGGAAAAAAUGGAUUUGGUUUGAAUGACAGACAAUUUUACUGUCUUUUUAAAGAUGACAACAAAUAUUGCUUCCAAAUAUGAAUAAAAGAGUUUUUUUCCACAUCAUUUCCUGUGCUGCUAUUGCCAAUUAUAAAUAUAAGCAUAUGGCAUUUAUAUAAGCCAUGCUUCCAAGAAAGCCUCUGAGUAUGCAAUCCUGACAGUAUUUAAUUUUAAGGUGAACUUAAAUGCCAAGUAUGACUUGAAAUCAUAGUAAUAUUGAUUUUUUAAAAUUUUGAUUCUGGAGGCUUAUCUUAUUGACAUGCAUUACCGGAAAUUCAUUGAAAUGUAGUCAUCAAUUAAGAACUUUUUAAAAACAAUGGGAAGUUUGUUACAUCCUGAAAUAGAGUUAGAAUGUAUACAGCUAACAAAGAGCUUAAAUGACCCAUUGGUAGCACCAGAGAUUUUCUAGACAUUCAUUUGAUAUGUGUGAAGUUACAGAACAGGCAUAACAUUAUAACCUUAUUUUUUUAUAUUCAACAUGACAAGAGAAUACAAUUUUAUGUAUAAAUUUAAUUGAUACGAGUGAAAUCUAUAAGACCCAUGCCUGGAAUAUGGAUGCAUUACUUAUUAGGACUUCCUUUCCUUACAAUAGAAAAUAUAAAUUAUGUCAAAUAACAGGAUACAUGCACACAGAUAGGCCUAGAGACCCAGGUCCCUGUUGAUUUACUGACAAAGGAAACUCCUAAAAUCUUCUGUGACAAGACGGUCCUCCUCCCAGAAAGGGAAAAUGAAAAUAAGUCUUUUAUUUUGGAAAAGCAUUUGAUGACCCCAUGUGUGAAGAUCAAUAGUCACACAUUCACCACUCAAACUCGAUCCACGAGUAGAGGUUAUUAGACAAAUAUCUUAAAAUUCUUUAAGGUUCUCAUUUUAAUUAUGCCAUGUCUCAGUCAAAGGUACAAUUCAGGCAGCAUUGGCCAAGCCACUGGCCCUGAAAGUAAGAAAGAAACAUACAGCUGUAGAGUUAGAAAGAACUUUGAGAAGAAAGGUGCUCUAUCUGCAGAGCCGCCAUUAAGUCACCCCUCACAAUCCUUUGCCCUCUCCUACGGAAAUUCGCCCCCGGAUGGCUGGUCUCGUCUCUUCCGCUCUGGGGCCAGCUCAAUGACUUUGUUCAUUCUCACCAAAUUUUGCAUACUAUUUUC
ensembl:lncRNA